CUCAGUUCGGAUUGUAGGCUGAAACUCGCCUACAUGGAGCUGGAGUUGCUAGUAAUCGCGAAUCAGCAUGUCGCGGUGAAUACGUUCCCGGGCCUUGUACACACCGCCCGUCACACCAUGAGAGUUGGCAAUACCCAACGUACGUGAUCUAACCCGCAAGGGAGGAAGCGUCCUAAGGUAGGGUCAGCGAUUGGGGUGAAGUCGUAACAAGGUAAC
rnacentral:rRNA from 1 species